CACCGCCCGUCACACUAUGGGAGCUGGCCAUGCCCGAAGUCGUUAUCUUAACCGCAAUGAGGGGGAUGCUGAAAGCAUGGCUAGUGACUGGAGUGAAGUCGUAACAAGGGAGCCGUACUGGAAGGUGCGGCUG
rfam:Eucalyptus grandis cultivar BRASTZ1 unplaced genomic scaffold scaffold_2, whole genome shotgun sequence.